CAAAAAAUAUAAGGUCUUUGGGACAGAUUUUUGUGUAACCAAAAGGCUGAUGUUAGGAUGAUGGCCAAACUGUAACCACUCCCUGUCACCCCCUUGGCUUGUUGCUCUUGUUUUAAAAAUCAUUCUUUUGAGAACAAAUACUUUUAGGCAAUCUAAUUACAAUAUGAUAUGUAAUAUUUGAACCAGUUGACCAAAAUCAACAUUAAAUCCAAAUCUCACAUUAUUUAGGCAAAAAGGAGACCUAAUGCAUUACAUUACAUGUAGAUUUCAAAGUUCUUACACUAUUAAAACAGUGAGAAGACAGCAAGGGUUGCCUGCAGGCCACACAGCCCCUCUGUGAUGAUACCUUACGAGUACCACUGAAGAUGUCAAAAGCCGCUUUGAGCCUUCCUGGUGCAGGUGCUGCUUGGACAUUAUGAGGCUUCACUGGCUCAUCUCAGCCCAUGUUCACAGAGCUUACUGCUGUCUAGUGCUUGGGGAGCCUCAGCCUCAUCAAUGGCCUGUGUUACGCUGCCGUGGAGGGUGUCCAAAUGUGCUUUCCACUCUAGGUCACCAGGUACAGUAGUGCGUGCCAGGCACUGAGCAACUCUAGGGGCACCAUUCUCAUAGGGGUCAUCCUAGGUCAGUUUCCUAACAAAUAGUAGAAUUUAUCUCUAGCAAUGGGAGCCUUUUCUAGUUCAUGCCAAGGUACAUGCUGCCUGGAGGGAAAAGAGCACUGUUCCUGCAAUCAGUUAAUUGGGGCAUAAUCCUGCAGCUUUCGUUUGACGACCCUGUGUGUAUUAAGUUUCCUAGGGCUGCUGUAACAUACAACAGCCUGGGAAACAACAGAAAUUAAUUUUCUCACAGUUCUGGAGGCUAGAAGUCUGAGAUCAAGGUGUCAGCAGGGUUGGUUUUUCCCAAGGACUAUCUCCUUCGUUUGUAGAUGGCUAUUUUUUCCCUGGCUCCUCACAUGGUCUUCCCUGCGUGUGUCUGUGUCCUAAUCUCUUCUUACGACACUAGUCAUAUUGGAUUAGGACCCACCUUUAUGACCUAAUUUAACCUCAUUUAUUUCACUCUUAUUUGUUAAGAGUCAGAGUCUUGCCCUGUCACCCAGGCUGGAGUGCAGCGCCAUGAUCACAGCUCAUUGCAGCCUUGAACUACUGGGCUCAAGUGAUCCUCCUGCCUCAGCCUCCUGAGUAGCUGGGCCUACAGGUGCGCACCACCACAGCCAGCUUCAUUUAUCUUUUUAAAGACGCUUUAUGCAAAUAUAGUCACAUUAUCAGGUACUGGGGGUUAGGACUUAAACAUACGAAUUUUUGGAGAACAUAUUUCAGCCAAUAACACUGUGCCUCAAGGGCCCUAAUCUUUAACCUAGGGAAUAUAAUGAUAUUCUUACAGAAAAUCAUAUCAAAGUGCUUUGUAGACUGCAAAGGGCUGCACAAAUAUUGUGUGGUUACUUCCUGUGUCCUGACAACUUGUGCCUGGAUCCCUGAUGUGAUCAUUUAGAUCUGGUAGAAAUACCAGGUGGAGUCAGCCUCCUAAAGAUGGAACAGUGGGUAACAGGUGUAGAAGCUGGGGCAUGAGGUGGUGGCGUGCUCUCCUUGCAUGAAGGCCCUCUCUCCCCUGCUGCUCCCGCUGUUGGUGCUGAUGUUCAGACUCAUGGACAGUGAGCCCUACAAUGUGUCAUACCCCUGGGGCUGAGGGCAAGAGGGAAAGGGAACAAUGGCCCACACCAAAAUGUAAAAGGCCCUCCGGGAGUUCUGGUGUAUAGGCCCUCCAUGUAGCUGGAAAUGAUGGCCACAAUUCCUCAGACGCCUGCCGGCUCUUUCUUCCACGUCUUUAGUAGGGGAUCAACAAGGUCACUUACUGUAGGGAGUGAUUUACUCCGCCUUCCCUGGAUCACAUCAGAUUGAUUCUAAUCAGAUAUCUAUGUACUGUUACUCCCUGAACAAGCAUUUGGCAGUACUGGUAGUGGGGAGCCAAGAUGGAUUUAAUUUCCUUUGGCCGAUAUGCUUCAUUUUCAUGAUAACAUUUCUCAAAACUUAACGGAGGGGCUCUUGAUUUCUGAAUCUGCCCUUUUUUCUAGAAGGGUAAGGCAGGAAGGUAAGAUCUCAUUCUCAGAUGAUUAAGACCAGCACCCUCCUGCAGUAUCCACGCUCCCACCCUGGGGCUUUCCUUUGAAAUCAGCAAGAGUCUGUGUAGAUGAAGAGAUACGAGUCAGGAGCAGGUCCACAUAGAAGCGGCUUUCCCAUAUUAAUAAUAAUGUUUCACAAUAAUAUCACUUUGGGUGCUUCCUCUACUCCUUGGAGCCAUAGAUAGUGGAUUUAUUGACUUGUUUUCCUUUGACUUAUGGCUCUUUCUCGUUAUUUUCUGAGUGUGGUUUUGCUUUGCUUCCUGGAAAGGGAAACAGAAGUGGUUCUGGUGAAUCCUGGGAGAGUAGAGCCUAGUUUUGAACUCUUACUCUCUUGAUGACACGGCUGCUCAGAGGGAAGCGUGGCCAGAAGAACAUGUUGGAGUUCCUUGCUCAUAUCCCUGUGAAUAUGGCCACAUGUGGCUCUAGGCAUUCAGUGGGUUCAUGCAGUCUUUGGAACAGAACCCCACAAGGGGCUGACAAACAACCUUCUAAGGCUUGGGGAGUGCUGAACUGGACAAACCAGGGUUUAGAGCUUCCUCAGUGACAUGCACCGAGUGGAUCCAGUGGCCCCUCUUAGAGUCUCUCCAAAAGGAGGGGGGCCCUUCUUCCCUUUUUUGCAUCUCCACUUCCCUCUCCCUAGGGCCCAGUGCUUUGUCUGACCUCCUCUCCCACUGGAAAUUUAGAGGUUAUGUGCAUUUCAUCUAUCAAUGAAUACAAAGAAGAUGAUUCCGAAUCCGAGAACUGCUAAAAUGGAAUUUCAGGCAUUUCCAGGGAGAGUUUAAAUGGUAGAAAGGGCUGGAUUUACCAUUAGUGGCUAUUAGUUUGAUUCUACUAAGACAGCAUUUCUAUUUUGCUGUUGGGACUGAAACAAACCUCAUUCAUUUGACAUGAAAAAAGUUGGGACAGUUUUGGUAUCUCCUUAGCUGGCUCGGUUAAGUGUAUGUGAGGGAGACCAUUUUUCACGCCUGGCCGGCUCUGUGCUUAAGUGGCCCCAUCGCAGCCAGAGUAGCCUCAUUACAGCUGAAGUCCCUGGUAGGUCUCCUCCUUCCUCUGAGCCCAGCGCAGUGCCAAGGCCGGGGACUCUGGCUGGCACUGGUGACACGCUGUCUUGUCCUGAAGACACGAGGUUGGGUUCGGCAGCUGGCUCCUCCGGGACAGGGCCCAGUGCACUGAGCUUAGCUGAGCCCUUCCCCUCACACCUGAAGUGUGGCACGAGGAUGGUCACUCAGAAGCAGCGAGUAGGGUGUCCUGGUGGGAAAAGCCUGGCUUUGUGCAGUCUCGGGGAAGGUUUUCAAUGCCAUCUGAGCCUGUUUCCUCAUCUCUAAGGCAGGGACCAGGUAGCCCGCCCCGCAGGGUAGUUGCAGGAAGCAGACAUGUAUCUGGGAGCAGCUGGCGAGUUCCUGGCAUGCACUGCUCCCAUCCGAUUUCCGCAGAUUUCCUGCUGGAACGUUCUCUCGGGCCUCAAGUUUUCCUGAGAGGACGACGUGGAGAGUGGAGACAAAGAUGCUCAAAAGCCAGGAAAUCGCAGGCUCGGAAGCCCCCACGCAUGCCUCUGAACGCAGCGCCAUCUCGGGGCUGCGGCGGGACCAAGCGGGACGCUUGCAGGCUGUCGGCGGCGGGGGCCGCGAGCCGCCGGCGUAGGCCGCUCCAGCUGGAAGACCCCACCGCUAGGGUUCCAGGGGGCUGCGGACGCUUCCGAGGGGCCCAAGGCGAAAGAACGCAGCCCGCUUGUCGGCCACGUGACCGUCCCCGUCCGCGUCCGCAGCGACCACGUGACUGUGCGUCCGCGGCGUCGAUUGACUGGGAGCUCCCUGGCCACGCCCUAAGCGCCAGCCCCGGGCUUCGGGGGGCGGUGCUGCUGCGGUUGCCAUGGCGUCUUCCGAGCGCGCAGGCGUGGGCCCAGAGUAGCUUUUCGGGUAUUUGCUACCGGCUCUCGGUAGGGCUGGUCACCUUUGCUUGCUGAGCUUCGCGCCCUGCGUCCUUUGGUCCCCAGCAACUUGCAGGGCAGCCGUCCCUCAUGAGGCCCUCCAGCGAAUGCCCUAAAGCUCCGAAGUUGCUCCGGAGGAAAACAGGCUUGCUCCGAGGGUGCACGUCCUUACUGCCCGUGACGUCGUGGUGCCUUGAGGGCACCCUUCUGGGAAGAUCCUUGCAGAGGCCAUGUCCCCUCUCCACGACAUCCAAGCCCAUUCCCAACUUGCUUUUCACUCCUGUCCCCCCGGGGAACGUCUACUGGACCUUAGGACAGCCCCUCACCCCCGUGCACCCCCCAGGUGGAUCUGCAGCGAAACCUCUGUGGUGACUCACAGUUGCUAGCAUUGGUUAUCUUCUUCCUGGCAGAAGGUGGCAGGCUGAUGCUGUCGUCGUUCCUGUGUGUCUGACAAAUCACAAAUAUGAAUUCAGAUCGUCACAGCUGAGUCAUGCCCAGGAUUUCCAUGAGCCCUGCUGGGGUGGCCAGCUUGAGCUCCCUUCCCCACAGCCUCCUCCAGCUCUGCAGCGCCAGGCACCAGUGUGACUCAUGGGGGCCUGUGGAAGCCGGGGCUGCUCAGUGGGGCUGAGUCUAGGAGGGGGAGAGAGAGAAAGGGAGCCCAUCAACAAUUACAGUGCAAACGCCGCAGCUGCCACCACCGAGUGCCUCCAGUUAGGAACUGGUUUGUGAAAUUCAUUACCCUAUGAGACGAGUUUUAUCUCUGUUUCACUCAAGAGGAUUCUGAGGCUCAGGAGGUUGUGAAUGACUCGGGGAAGCACAGCUGAACCUACCCCUAGGAGUGGGAGAAGACCACAACCAAAGAAGCAAAUGGACACACGGACUAUCAGAUGAAAGGCAGCUACACAGGAAAAUAAAGCAGUGCAGCAGGAUUGGAGGUGCUUGUGGUGAGAGGAGGUAGGGAGUUGCUUUUUACAUGGGGAGAUCAGGGAAGGCCUCAGUAAGGAGGUGAUAUUUGAAUAGAGAGAGACCUGGGAGAGGAAAGAGAGUGAGCCCUGUUGAUAUAUAAGGGUAGAAUGACUCUGGCAGAGCGGUUAGUGCAAAGGUCUUGUGGCAGAAAACACCCUUUUGGACUUCCAUUGUGAAUGUCUUGGGACACUUGAUGGUGUCCCACAGGUC